rnacentral:tRNA from 1 species
GGUUUUGUAUUCAAUAAUGAUUUUAAAUUGCAAAUUUAAAGGUGAUAAAUAAAUCCAAAACUU